rnacentral:rRNA from 1 species
GACGAACGCUGGCGGCGUGCUUAACACAUGCAAGUCGAACGGAAAGGCCCUGCUUUUGUGGGGUGCUCGAGUGGCGAACGGGUGAGUAACACGUGAGUAACCUGCCCUUGACUUUGGGAUAACUUCAGGAAACUGGGGCUAAUACCGGAUAGGAGCUCCUGCUGCAUGGUGGGGGUUGGAAAGUUUCGGCGGUUGGGGAUGGACUCGCGGCUUAUCAGCUUGUUGGUGGGGUAGUGGCUUACCAAGGCUUUGACGGGUAGCCGGCCUGAGAGGGUGACCGGCCAAAAUGGGGCUGAAAUACGGCCCAGACCCCUACGGGAGGCAGGAGUGGGGGAUAUUGCACCAUGGGCGGAAGCCUGAUGCAGCAACGCCGCGUGCGGGAUGAAGGCCUUCGGGUUGUAAACCGCUUUCGCCUGUGACGAAGCGUGAGUGACGGUAAUGGGUAAAGAAGCACCGGCUAACUACGUG